AAUUAAAUUAUUAUUUAAAUUAAAAAUUUAGUUGUUUAUUAAAUUAAGAAAAAUAUUAUUUUAUUAUUUUAUAGAAAAAAUUUAAUUUUAUUAUAGUUUAAAAGUAUUGAAAAAGAAAUUUUUAAUUUUUAAAAAGAAAAAUUUAAUUUUUGUACCUUGUGUAUCAGGGUUUAUUAAAUUAAUAAAAAUAUUUUUAUUUCUCGAAUUUAAAAGAUCUAAUAAAUUAUGAUUAUUAUUAUAAAAUAACUAAAAUUUAAUAUUUUAUUAGUAAUGAAAUGUUUUUCGUUUUUAAAUAUAUCUAGUUUUUUAAGAAAUUAAUUUAAUUAAUUUAUUAUAAAUAUAUUUUUGUUUAAAUAAUUUUAUAUUAAUAAUAAAAAAUAUUUUUAGGGAUUAGCUUAAAAUUUGAUUUUUAUUAAAAAUUUAAAAAAUUAUAAAAUUAGGAUUAAAAAUUUCCAAAUUUUAAAGUAUGUUAUUAUUUAUUAUGGUGUAAUAAUUUUUUUAUUUUUUAUAAAUAUUUUAUUAAAAUAUAAAUUUAAAUUUUAAUGAUUUAGAAAUUAUGAUAGAAUUAGUAAAUUAUGAUGUAAAAUUUUAAUAUUUAUUAGAUUUUAUAAAGGAAUUCGGCAAAUUAUUUUUUACCUGUUUAUUAAAAACAUGUCUUUUUGUAAAAAUAUAAAGUCUAACCUGCCCUAUGAAAAUUUAAAUGGCCGCGGUAUAUUAACCGUGCUAAGGUAGCAUAAUCAUUAGUUUUUUAAUUGAAAGCUGGAAUGAAGGGUUGGAUAAAAAAAUAACUGUCUCUAUAAAAAUGAUUGAAUUUUAUUUUUAAGUUAAAAAGCUUAAAUUUUUUUAAAAGACGAGAAGACCCUAUAGAGUUUAAUAUAAAAUAUAAUUAUUUUUUUUAGUAUUUAUUUAAAUAAUUAGAUUUUAUAUUUAGUUGGGGUGAUUGAAAAAUUAAAUAAACUUUUUUUGUAUAAAAAUAUAUUUUUAUAAAUUAUUGAUCCAAAAAUUUUGAUUAUAAGAUAAAAUUACCUUAGGGAUAACAGCGUAAUUUUAUUAGAGAGUUCUUAUUGAUAAUAAAGAUUGCGACCUCGAUGUUGGAUUAAAAUUUAUAAUUGGUGCAGAAGCUAUAUUAUUAAGUCUGUUCGACUUUUAAAAUUUUACAUGAUCUGAGUUUAAACCGGUGUAAGCCAGGUUGGUUUCUAUCUUUAAUAAAUUUAUAUAUUUUAGUACGAAAGGACCAAUUAUAUAAAUAAUAUUUUAAAAUUGAAUAAUAAAU
rnacentral:rRNA from 1 species